AUACUUGUUAUGUACAAGUGUCUUGUCCGUAGACACUUCCUCAUCUGCUGUUAAUACUGAAAUGCAAAAGAUAAAGUUAAAGAGAGAGAAAUACUUUUUCUUCAUUUGAUUUAGUUAAUCUUUUAAGGUAUGCAGCAACUGGAAUAAACAAUAUUGAAGUAAAAUAAGGUAUGCUUUUUAUGACUGAUAAUCUGACACUUUUUAAAAUCCACUCCUGUAAAGUAAUUUUACAAAAAUUGAGAACACUUAAAUUACCAUUUAUUUAUUAAAAAU
rnacentral:lncRNA from 1 species